UACAGAGGUCCCAAGCGUUGUUCGGAUUCAUUGGGCGUAAAGGGUGCGUAGGCGGCGCGGUAAGUCGGGUGUGAAAUCUCGGGGCUUAACUCCGAAACUGCAUUCGAUACUGCCGUGCUUGAGGACUGGAGAGGAGAGUGGAAUUCCUGGUGUAGCGGUGAAAUGCGCAGAUAUCAGGAAGAACACCCGUGGCGAAGGCGGCUCUCUGGGACGGUACUGACGCUGAGACGCGAAAGCGUGGGGAGCGAACAGG
rnacentral:rRNA from 1 species